rnacentral:piRNA from 1 species
CUCACUUUAUCUGUGAGACGGUGACAAUGG